UUGGUCUCUAUCUUCUCUUUCUCUCCACGACAGAACCCUUCUUAUUUUUCUCUCUCCUCAAAACAACGACAAACUCUCUCUUCUCCAAUCUCCAUUGAAACUUUCUAAACCCGAUCUCUCACCUAAACUCAAACUAAAGCUCGCCUCUCUCCCACUCUCUCUCUCUCUCUCUCUCUCUCUCUCCCCCCCCCCGGCACGGCAGCAUGGCGCGCGGACGCCUUUUCUCUCUUUGACGGUGACGCCAUGAUUGAUUGACAGUGCGACAGUGUAGCAAAGCAUAGACGAUUAGACGUCUUCAAGGCUCAAGUAGAUUUCUAGGUUCGGUUUCAGUUUUCAACUUUUCGAUUUCAGAUUCUUCAAGCUUGGUAAGUUGCUAGUUGUCAAAAAAAAAAAAAAAAAAACCCCAAUCAUGCAUUUCUCUGUUUGUAGCUCAUUUUACUCAGGUAUUGCUUCAAGAUCAGGAAAAAUUUGGUGCAUUAGUUCGUCGGGUUAAGGAAAUUGGAUUUUGUUUUGAUAAUUCAACAUCUGCAGUGGCACUAGGCCAAUUGGGUACUAAAAAUAGUAAGUCCAUAAUGAAUCGAAGUCGCUGAGUUUAUAUGACGAAAUGGGGUUGGUCUGAGGAUGAUGUUCACUCUGCCUUGAAGAAGUUCCCUCAGUGUAUGUUCAAGUUGGAGAAGAAAAUAAUGCAAACAGUGGAUUUUCUGGUGAACAAGAUGGGAUUGCCUUCAGGAAUAGUUGUCAAAUUCCCACAGGUUAUGUCAGUCAAUUGAGUAUGUGGUAUUCAUGAUUUGGUCUUUCUCUUUUCCUUGAUUUUUAGUUUUGCUGGUUUUGGUACACCUUUUUACUUCCUGUUCUUUUGAUUUUAAUUUUUUUUUUCUGCACUACGUGCGUUGGUACUGAGAAUAGUAAGUCGAUAUGGAAUCGAAGUAGCCAAGUUUAUAUGAUGAGAUGGGGUUGGGGAUGAUGUUCAAUCUGCCUUCAAGAAUUUAAGUCGGAGAAGAAAAUAAUGCAAGAAAUGGUUUUUUCUUGAACAAGAUGGAAUUGCCUUCAGAAAUGAUUGUCAAAUACCCACAGGUUUUGGCAUUUAGUUUGGAGAAGCGGAUAGUCCCAAGAAGGUUAGGUCCCCAUUUUUUAAAUUUGAGGUUCCUGACCGGGUUCAGGUCCUUGUACUUGACCUGGGUUCGGAGCCUCUGGUUUUCAAAUUCAAUUUCGACGAAUGGGGACGAUGAGCCUUCACCGUCUUUGGGCAUAAGGUUGUGGGCCGCCACCACCUCCACCACAAGGCAUUCUUUGCCGGUGCUGUUGCUCACAGUCAUGGAUGGGUUUUGGUGAAGAAGAAGAAGAAAAAGAAGAAGGAAACAGAGAAAAUGAAAGAUGAAGC